rnacentral:rRNA from 1 species
CCUACGGGUGGCAGCAGUGGGGAAUAUUGGACAAUGGGCGAAAGCCUGAUCCAGCCAUGCCGCGUGUGUGAACAAGGCCUUCGGGUUGUAAAGCACUUUCAGUGGGGAAGAAAGCCUUGGGGCUAAUACCCUCGAGGAAGGACAUCACCCACAGAAGAAGCACCGGCUAACUCCGUGCCAGCAGCCGCGGUAAUACGGAGGGUGCGAGCGUUAAUCGGAAUUACUGGGCGUAAAGCGCGCGUAGGCGGUCUGAUAAGCCGGUUGUGAAAGCCCCGGGCUCAACCUGGGAACGGCAUCCGGAACUGUCAGGCUAGAGUGCAGGAGAGGAAGGUAGAAUUCCCGGUGUAGCGGUGAAAUGCGUAGAGAGCGGGAGGAAUACCAGUGGCGAAGGCGGCCUUCUGGACUGACACUGACGCUGAGGUGCGAAAGCGUGGGUAGCAAACAGGAUUAGAUACCCCAGUAGUC